AAGCAAAUAAGGGCGUAUGGGGGAUGCCUUGGCUCUAAGAGACGACGAAGGACGUGGUAAGCUGCGAAAAGUUACGGGGAGAUGCAAACAAUUUUUGAUCCGUAAAUGUCCGAAUGGGGAAACCCUCUAUGUUGAAGACAUAGAAUACACGUAAGUGUAAGAAAACCCGGGGAACUGAAACAUCUAAGUACCUGGAGGAAAAUAUAACAAUAGUUAUUCCGCAAGUAGUGGCGAGCGAACGCGGAACAGCCCUAAAGCUUAUAUAUAAUUAGCAGAAUCUUCUGGAAAGUUGAACGAUACAAGGUGAUAGUCCUGUAAGCGAAAAUUAUAUACAAGUUAUUCGAGUAUGGCGGAGCCGGUGAAACUCUGUCUGAAUAUAGCAGCACCAUCUGCUAAGGCUAAAUACUACUUAGAGACCGAUAGCGAACCAGUACUGUGAAGGAAAGGUGAAAAGAACCCUAAGAAAGGGAGUGAAAAGAACCUGAAACCAUACGCUUACAAGCGGUCGGAGCCUACGGGUGACGGCGUGCCUUUUGCAUAAUGAUCCUACGAGUUACUCCUCACUAGCAAGUUUAAGUACUUCAGGUACGUAGGCGUAGCGAAAGCGAGUCUGAAUAGGGCGUUUGUCAGUGUUUAUAGACCCGAACCCGGGUGAUCUAACCAUGGCCAGGAUGAAGCUUGGGUGAUACCAAGUGGAGGUCCGAACCGACUGAUGUUGAAAAAUCAGCGGAUGAGCUGUGGUUAGGGGUGAAAUGCCAAUCGAACCCGGAGCUAGCUGGUUCUCCCCGAAAUACGUUGAGGCGUAGCGUCUCGUGCUCCAGCAGGGGGGUAAAGCCACCAUUUCGGUGCGGGCUGCGAGAGCGGUACCAAAUCGAGAUGAACUCUGAAUACCCUGUGUGUAGCGAGGCAGUCAGACUGUGGGGGAUAAGCUCCAUGGUCGAGAGGGAAACAGCCCAGACCGCCAGCUAAGGUCCCCAAAUCAACACUAAGUGAUAAAGGAGGUGGGAUUGCCCAGACAACCAGGAGGUUUGCCUAGAAGCAGCCAUCCUCAAAGGAGUGCGUAAUAGCUCACUGGUCGAGCGAUCCUGCGCCGAAAAUGAAUGGGGCUAAGUGUUGUACCGAAGCUGCGGAUUUAUGGUAGGGGAGCGUUCUAUGUGGGGCGAAGCGUUAGCGUGAGCGGGCGUGGACUGCAUAGAAGUGAGAAUGUCGGCUUGAGUAGCGAAAACAUGGGUGAGAAUCCCAUGCACCGAAACCCUAAGGGUUCCUCCGGCAGGUUCGUCCGCGGAGGGUUAGUCAGGACCUAAGGCGAGGCCAAACGGCGUAGUCGAUGGACAACGGGUAAUUAAUCCCGUACUGAUAUGGAUUUGUGCAGAGGGACGGAGAAGGCAUGAGCCAGCCGGAUGUUGGUUACCGGUGCAAGCGUUUGAGGCGUUGAGGAGUGGAGAAAACAUUCCGAGCUGAGGCGUGAGUCCGAGGUGAUACGUCACCGAAGUGGUAGCAGUCAAGCUUCCAAGAAAAGCUCCAAGCACGUUAAGUCCAUGUUACCUGUACCCGAAACCGACACAGGUAGGGAGGUUGAGAAUACCAAGGGGCGCGAGAUAACUCUCUCUAAGGAACUCGGCAAAAUGGCCCCGUAACUUCGGAAGAAGGGGUGCCCACCUAAGACGUGGGUCGCAGUGAAGAGAUCCAGGCGACUGUUUACCAAAAACACAGGUCUCCGC
rnacentral:rRNA from 1 species